UUAAAAUGAGUUGUGUUGUGUUUAGAGGAGGAGCUAGUAUGAGAAUGAAAAGGAGACACUCAAAAUGACAUGAAGGUCUUUCCUCAGUGCAUUGUAAGCUUGUCUCUCUAACAUUAACCAUGCUGUGCUGGUUCACCUUGUUAUUUUUAACAUUUGUGGUUAAUGUUGACAAAGUGGCUGAACGUGUGGAUCUGGAGAUCUCCUCUGCUGAAGUGACAGACUCUGCUCUGUACUACUGUACCCUGGAGCCCACAGUGACAGGAAACCCAGAAACACUACAAAAACCGUACUGUAAUAAAGUCCUACUAUUAAACACCAUGUAAUAGGAGAAGUUAAGAUGAGAGGUGGAGAGAUGAUUCUCCUCUAUCUGACUGGAACUUCAGUUCUGCCUCCUGAUAACACACUGUUACACCUAUUACCAUGUUUCUCUACCCAGUGUUUCUCCUCUCUGCACUUGUUGG
rnacentral:lncRNA from 1 species